AAUGCUAAGCUGAUUUUUUUAUAGCACACUGAUCGAUAUCUCUGUAAAAUAAUCAUUUUUUUAACUAGCGGGGCAGUGAAAUCUUUGCUUUGUGCUAAAGUCAACAGUGACAGAGUUUGAGCUCAAAUAAAUGCCGUGAUGUCUGGAGCCCUUUGCAGAAGGCAGAAGGCGAAGCUUCUACAAUGGGCUCCUGUGUGGCUUGCCAACAACAAGCACCGGCUAUUUUACACAGGGCUCUGCUGACUGAAGUGAUCCCCAUGGUCCGAGUGGAGGAGAGGAGGGAGAUGAAGCCUCAGAGGGAAGAGGGGUAGCUGCGGUGGAGCCACAAAGACGCACACUCACACACACACACACACACACACUCAAACACUCACACAAUGUCCCUCUCAGUCCUGGGUUGUGACCGGCCCAUGGCAUUGGCCAGAUGCACAUGGCUUUUAUUUGAAGGACACUUUCCCACUGCUGCUUACUGUCUACUUUCAUCACCCUGCAUCAAGCGACCUAAAAGCACUUUCCUGUCGAUGUACUUGGCUAUAUCUACGUCUGACCUGUCUGCCAUAUGUAAUAUCAAAGCCUCUGUCAGCAUGGAGCUGAAUGGGAACAAAAGAAAGGCCUCCAUUAAUGAUUAACUGUUCUAAAAGCCCCGGCUUUUGUAUUCCCAUGGUGCCCAGGCUAUCUGGCCACCAUGUGACAUGCUCACAGCAUUUUUCGAGCAGAUUGGGGGAAAGCUAGUGAGCAAACACAGGUGCUUUGGAGCAGCGUUGCCGACGCUGUCAGGGACAACCACAAACAAGAGCAGCUAUGCCUGGCUAAAUGAAUCCCCACCCCUCCCAACACCAACACCAUCACCACCACCACCUCCACCACCACCCC